rnacentral:rRNA from 1 species
GGCGGACGGGUGAGUAACACGUGGGUAACCUACCUCAAAGAGGGGAAUAGCCUCCCGAAAGGGAGAUUAAUACCGCAUAACAUCAUAGCUUCGCAUGAAGCAAUGAUUAAAGGAGUAAUCCGCUUUGAGAUGGACCCGCGGCGCAUUAGCUAGUUGGAGAGGUAACGGCUCACCAAGGCAACGAUGCGUAGCCGACCUGAGAGGGUGAUCGGCCACAUUGGAACUGAGACACGGUUCAGACUCCUACGGGAGGCAGCAGUGGGGAAUAUUGCACAAUGGGCGAAAGCCUGAUGCAGCAACGCCGCGUGAGUGAUGACGGUCUUCGGAUUGUAAAGCUCUGUCUUUUGGGACGAUAAUGACGGUACCAAAGGAGGAAGCCACGGCUAACUACGUGCCAGCAGCCGCGGUAAUACGUAGGGGGCAAGCGUUAUCCGGAAUUACUGGGCGUAAAGGGUGCGUAGGCGGU